rnacentral:rRNA from 1 species
UACGUAGGGGGCAAGCGUUGUCCGGAAUCAUUGGGCGUAAAGAGCGUGUAGGCGGCUCGGUAAGUCCGCUGUGAAAGUCCAGGGCUCAACCCUGGAAUGCCGGUGGAAACUGUCGAGCUAGAGUCCGGAAGAGGCGAGUGGAAUUCCUGGUGUAGCGGUGAAAUGCGCAGAUAUCAGGAGGAACACCAAGUGGCGAAGGCAGCUCGCUGGGACGGUACUGACGCUGAGACGCGAAAGCGUGGGGAGCAAACGGG